rnacentral:rRNA from 1 species
GACGAACGCUGGCGGCGUGCCUAAUACAUGCAAGUAGGACGCACAGCCUAUACCGUAGCUUGCUACUCCAUAGGCUGUGAGUUGCGAACGGGUGAGUAACGCGUAGGUAACCUGCCUAUUAGAGGGGGAUAACUAUUGGAAACGAUAGCUAAUACCGCAUAACAGUAUGUAACACAUGUUAGAUGCUUGAAAGAUGCAAUUGUAUCGCUAGUAGAUGGACCUGCGUUGUAUUAGCUAGUAGGUAGGGUAAAGGCCUACCUAGGCAACGAUACAUAGCCGACCUGAGAGGGUGAUCGGCCACACUGGGACUGAGACACGGCCCAGACUCCUACGGGAGGCAGCAGUAGGGAAUCUUCGGCAAUGGGGGGAACCCCUGACCGAGCAAACGCCGCGUGAGUGAAGAAGGUUUUCGGAUCGUAAAGCUUCU